AGUGAACGCUGGCGGUAGGCCUAACACAUGCAAGUCGAACGGCAGCACAGAGGAGCUUGCUCCUUGGGUGGCGAGUGGCGGACGGGUGAGGAAUACAUCGGAAUCUACUCUGUCGUGGGGGAUAACGUAGGGAAACUUACGCUAAUACCGCAUACGACCUACGGGUGAAAGCAGGGGAUCUUCGGACCUUGCGCGAUUGAAUGAGCCGAUGUCGGAUUAGCUAGUUGGCGGGGUAAAGGCCCACCAAGGCGACGAUCCGUAGCUGGUCUGAGAGGAUGAUCAGCCACACUGGAACUGAGACACGGUCCAGACUCCUACGGGAGGCAGCAGUGGGGAAUAUUGGACAAUGGGCGCAAGCCUGAUCCAGCCAUACCGCGUGGGUGAAGAAGGCCUUCGGGUUGUAAAGCCCUUUUGUUGGGAAAGAAAUCCAGCCGGCUAAUACCUGGUUGGGAUGACGGUACCCAAAGAAUAAGCACCGGCUAACUUCGCG
rnacentral:rRNA from 1 species